GACGAACGCUGGCGGCGUGCUUAACACAUGCAAGUCGAACGGAAAGUCCCUGCUUUUGUGGGGUGCUCGAGUUGCGAACUGGUGAGUAACACGUGAGUAACCUGCCCUUGCCUUUGGGAUAACUUCAUGACACUUGGGCUAAUACCGGCUAGGAGCUCCUGCUUCAUGGUGGGGGUUGGAAAGUUUCGGUGGUUGGGGAUGGACUCGCGGCUUAUCAGCUUGUUGGUGGGGUAGUGGCUUACCAAGGCUUUGACGGGUAGCCGGCCUGAGAGGGUGGCCGGCCACAUUGGGACGGAGAUACGGCCCAGACUCCUACGGGAGGCAGCAGUGGGGAAGAUUGCACAAUGGGCGGAAGCCUGAUGCAGCAACGCCGCGUGCGGGAUGACGGCCUUCGGGUUGUAAACCGCUUUCGCCUGUGACGAAGCGUGAGUGACGGUAAUGGGUAAAGAAGCACCGGCUAACUACGUG
rnacentral:rRNA from 1 species